AACUCGUAUCCUUUAAAACCAUUACUGGUUAUUAAAGCAAAACAAAACGUUCCAAAAAAUCGCCAGCGUAUUACUUAACCGCCAAAUAUCCUCUAUGGAUAACACUUAGUAUCCAAUCGAUAAAUUAUAAAUAUAAAGGAAAUAUAAAUUUUUUGGUUAUACGCUUUCUACAAUGUUGCACCGGACAAGGCACAGUCUUCUUGCGUAACUCUUUUGCACAAGUAGAACAAAAUAAGUGUCCACACUUUGCAGCAAAAAUGGAUUUUUUC